GAUGAACGCUAGCGGCAGGCCUAAUACAUGCAAGGUCGAGGGGUAGAGGAGAGCUUGCUUUCCUUGAGACCGGCGCACGGGUGCGUAACGCGUAUGCAACCUACCUUUAUCAGGGGGAUAGCCCGAAGAAAUUCGGAUUAACACCGCAUAAAAUCACAGUAUCGCAUGAUACAAUGAUCAAAUAUUUAUAGGAUAGAGAUGGGCAUGCGUGUCAUUAGUUAGUUGGCGGGGUAACGGCCCACCAAGACCACGAUGACUAGGGGAUCUGAGAGGAUGACCCCCCCACACUGGUACUGAGACACGGACCAGACUCCUACGGGAGGCAGCAGUAAGGAAUAUUGGUCAAUGGAGGCAACUCUGAACCAGCCAUGCCGCGUGCAGGAAGACGGCCCUCUGGGUUGUAAACUGCUUUUAUUCGGGAAUAAACCUACUUACGUGUAAGUAGCUGAAUGUACCGAAGGAAUAAGGAUCGGCUAACUCCGUG
rnacentral:rRNA from 1 species